AGCGAACGCUGGCGGCAGGCCUAACACAUGCAAGUCGAACGAACCUUUCGGGGUUAGUGGCGGACGGGUGAGUAACACGUGGGAACGUGCCUUUAGGUUCGGAAUAACUCAGUGAAACUUGUGCUAAUACCGAAUGUGCCCUUCGGGGGAAAGAUUAAUCGCCUUUAGAGCGGCCCGCGUCUGAUUAGCUAGUUGGUUGAGGUAAUGGCUCACCAAGGCGACGAUCAGUAGCUGGUCUGAGAGGAUGAUCAGCCACAUUGGGACUGAGACACGGUCCAAACUCCUACGGGAGGCAGCAGUGGGGAAUCUUGCGCAAUGGGCGAAAGCCUGACGCAGCCAUGCCGCGUGAAUGAUGAAGGUCUUAGGAUUGUAAAAUUCUUUCACCGGGGACGAUAAUGACGGUACCCGGAGAAGAAGCCCCGGCUAACUUCGUG
rnacentral:rRNA from 1 species